UACAGAGGUCCCAAGCGUUGUUCGGAAUUACUGGGCGUAAAGCGCGUGUAGGCUGCUCCGCAAGUCGGGUGUGAAAGCCCUGGGCUCAACCUAGGAAGUGCACUCGAAACUGCGGAGCUGGAGUCCUGGAGAGGAAGGCGGAAUUCUCGGUGUAGAGGUGAAAUUCGUAGAUAUCGGGAGGAACACCGGUGGCGAAGGCGGCCUUCUGGACAGUGACUGACGCUGAGACGCGAAAGCGUGGGGAGCGAACAGG
rnacentral:rRNA from 1 species